AGAGAGAAGGGAGAGGAGAGUGAGUGUAGUCUCCCACGGCCUCGCGAGGUGCAGACGACACCACAGGCGCUGUCACGUUUUGGCGGGAGACACAGAGAGACAGAGAGUGACAGAGAUACACCAGUAAAUACAGAGAGACACAGAGUGACAGAGAGACACCAGGAGACACAGAGAGACACCGGCAGAUACAGAGAGACACCGGCAGACACAGAGAGACACAUAGAGACACAGAGAGACAGAGAUACACUGGGAGACAGAGAGAGAGAGACAGAGAGACACCGAAAGACAGAGAGAAACAGAUAGACAGAGACACCGGGAGACACUGGGAGACACAGGGAGACACAGGGAGACAGAGACACAGGGAGACACAGGGAGACACAGAGAGACACAGAGAGACCGGGAGACACAGAGACACACAGAGAGACACACAGAGACACCGGGAGACACAGAGAGACACAGAGACAGAGAGAGACAGAUAGACAGAGACACCGGCAGACACAGAGAGACAGAGAGAGAGACAGAGAGACACAGAGACACAGAGAGAGACAGACAGACACAGAGAGACACCGGGAGACAGAGGGAGACACAGACAACAUAGAGACACAGAGGGAGACACAGACACACACAGAGAGACAGAGAGAGACAUCCGCACCAUGAGUGCGCGAUGCUUUUCUCAACGUCCCCAGGUGAGGAGGAGGAGGAGGCGGCGAGCGUCGCCUUUGGAGUUGAGGGACCAGAGUCGGCAUCGCCUCGAGCCCCUCACCACUGAGCCCCCCACCACUGAGCCCCCCACCACUGAGCCCCCCACCACUUGACGGGGCCGCCGCUUCUGCCAAAGUGAUUGUGGCCACGUCGACGAUCGAGAUGAAGACGAUGAAGACGACGAGGAGGCGGAGUGGAGGACUAAAACCGAAUAUUGGCGCUCAUCAGCACCGGCAGCCUGGAUAGCGUCAUGCCGAUGAGAACAUGAAGAUGGGAAGGGAACCAUCCGGACUGCCCCCCCCCCCCUCCCAUUCACCUGCAACCUCAGCUGCCACGGUGGCCGUGAAGACUCCCACGUGACGCAGAUGCUGCUACUGCUGAUGAUUAAUAAGUGGAUGAUGCUGAGGACGAGGAGGAGAACGAGGAGGAGGACGAGGGGGCCGGGAGUGGGGGGCUGGAAGGUCGAGGGGACUCGGUCCCGCUCCGCUGCUCGCGUUGCCGUGGUGACGAGGAGAGCGAGGAGUUUG